GGGGUAGAGCAGUGGUAGCUCGUCGGGCUCAUAACCCGGAGGUCAUUGGUUCGAAUCCUUUCCCCG
rnacentral:tRNA from 1 species